CUUACAUAAUAGAUAUCUUUAUCUUGUGUUUUUCAGAAAUUGAGAUUAUAAAGCUCUUGAAGUGAGAACAUUGCUCACAAAUUGAGAAAACUAAUUAUAAUCUGCUUUCCACCUCUUCAGAGUUGAGCCUUUGCAUCACAUAAUGUGUUGAGAUCAAAAAGAGUAAACUCAAGUUGAGAAGAAAAUGAUAAUUGCAAAAGCAAAGAAGAAAUAAGUGUUGUCUGUUUACCUUGUUGAUAGCUUCUUUUGCUGUGCAGAAGCUCUUCAGUUUAAGUAAGUCCCAUUUCUCAAUUUUUAUUUCCUUUGCAACUGUUUUUGGGGGCUUAGUCAAAAAUUAUUUCCAAGGCCCAUGUCAAGAAGGGUAUUUCAUAAGUUUUCUUCUGGGAUUUUUAUAGUUUUGAGGUCCUACAUUUUAAUGUCUAAUUC
rnacentral:lncRNA from 13 species